rnacentral:rRNA from 1 species
UACGUAGGGGGCAAGCGUUGUCCGGAAUCAUUGGGCGUAAAGAGCGCGUAGGCGGCCCUGUAAGUCCGCUGUGAAAGUCAAGGGCUCAACCCUUGAAUGCCGGUGGAUACUGCAGGGCUAGAGUCCGGAAGAGGCGAGUGGAAUUCCUGGUGUAGCGGUGGAAUGCGCAGAUAUCAGGAGGAACACCGGUGGCGAAGGCGGGUCUCUGGGCCGAUACUGACGCUGAGGAGCGAAAGCGUGGGGAGCGAACAGG